AGCCGGUGCUCAUUAAAUGGGGGUGCUGAUGGGGGUGCUAGUGGCAGGGGCAGCAACCAUUGCCAACCCACCUUGAGCUGGUCUGAGCUCAUUCCCCUUACAUCAUUCCAUCUGAAGAUAAACAGUAAGAUUGAGACUCUCUGAAGAAGGAAACAAAAAUAAUUGCAACUUGUGUUUUUUGCCAUAGAAUCGUCUAAUAGCUCAGCUGGAUUUGGAGGCUGCAUCCCAUUAUUAGAAAUAUGACAGCAAAAAUUCUAUCUAACAAAAUCUUGCAAGGGUAAAUGAUGAUUCCCGCACUCACUUUAAGCCAAAGAGGAAACCCGACAUGUGGGGUUCAUUGUAAUUAAAGACGUGGCCACCUUCUCUCAUUCUUCUGGCAGAACGUGUGGGUCAGAUACUGCAUAGGCUGGCAGAGGACAACAGAUGGGACGAUUUCAAAUAUUCAAAAUUAAGAAACUCAAACCACACCAUUUGAUUCAUUUCCUGUACUUGAUGAAACUAAAUUGGAAACAACCCCCUCCAAAUUGUAUUAUAAAUAAAUUGAAUUCAUUUCUUAUCUUUUUCCACUCAGAACAAAUAUUUCAGAAGUCUUAGAAAACUUGUAUCCUUUUCCUUAUUGCUUGGGCUUAUCUGUCAUUUUGACCUUCUCUCAGUCCCACGAAUAGCCAGCUAUACUCUGAAGUCCCCUCUGUUCCAAGGUGCUGUGCAAGAAAGAGGAGCUACUGUCCCUUUAGCACCUGCCAGGGUCUCACUCUGCUACUGCUUCAUGUGUCUGACCUCUCAGCAUCUCAUUCCCUGCCCAUCAGGGACUUAUCAGCAAACCAAUGUACUCACUACCCACGGCAUACAGUUUAGAUGCCAUGAGAGGGGGAAGUGCAGAAGGAGAAGAAUUAAUUCCAACCAGGAGAAAUAAGACAGGUUCCAAAGAGGAGGCAGUAUUCAACUUGGGGCUUGAAGAAGGAACAGAAUGUUAAGAUAGGAAGUUGGGAAGGAGAAUCUGGCUAUUGUGGACACAGUAUGCUGCCAAAGUUUAAAGAUUUUUUUUUUUUUUAGAGACCAAGUAAACCCAUGUGGCUGGGUCUUACAUAUAAAAAUUAUAUGCAUUAUUAUGAGGGAGAAGAGUCAGGGUGGGGAGGACUGGUCCUCUCUUUGCAGUUCCUGCCGUGAUGACAGGUCAGGCAAAUGAUUAGCAACAGGGUUUUAACUUCUGGAGUGGACAAUUUUCCUCUUGGUGACAAAUUCAGAUUCACUAGUGCAAGAGGUUCUGAGGGUCAAGGUGGUGCAACACAGGCCUCAAGAGGCGGCGGUGGGGGAGGGCUUGAUGCCUGAUGCAAACAUCUGGACCAUUGGGGGACAGUCCACAUUGCAUUGGUUUUGGCCCCAAUUGUUCAGCCAGACCAGGGCUAGGAGGAGAGCAGAGAGCUUGCUCGCAUGCCUGUUACAUGAUGCAUUAGAGAGCUCCUGGUGAAUUAUGUGUCUAUUAGCCAAGUGGCCCUGGGGCUUUAUGACUCUCUCUUUUGGUAAAGCAAAAAUAAUAACAAUAACAGCUCACCAUCUUCUCAUCCUGCUGAAGAGAGCGAGUAUUUCACCUGUCAUUACACAAUUACAGCUGCUUCCUAGACAACGCCAUUCCAAGCCCCAGCAUACAGAGGCAGAUGGGAAAUCUGUGCUCCCAUCCUGAUCUAUCUUGCCUGGACCAGACCACAAGUAGCAACUUAGUCCCUUCUUUAUAGAGGAAGCUUGGCAACCAAGCCAGCUUAGGCGGGAAGGUGAUCAUUUGAGGGGACCAAAGACCCUGUAGUGAAGCCAAGAUGCCCAAGCAGAAAGAGUAGGGCCCUGACGUCAGACUUCCUCAUUCCACUCCACUCUGCCCUUUCAUCCAUGCCCUGCCUGGGUACGGAGGUACUGCCAGCCGGCUGGGACAGCAGAGAGCCGAUGUGGAGGUGAGUAUGCCCUUUGUGUGGCAAGUGAAUAGGGCAUCCCUCUGAGGCACUUCACCCUGCUGAGAAGCCUCAGGCUGUCUCCCCAACAAAAGCAUGUGACCGCUGAGUGCUGGUUCAUAUCAAUCAAUGGGUGUAUUACUGCAGGGCAAGAUAAGCAUUUCCAGACAAUAUUGUUCCCCAAAGGAUGAAACACAUGAGAUAGGAAGAAACCAAUCAUUCCCAGACCUUCAGGAUGACAGCCCUUGAUGACGUCAAUCCAUGGAGAGAACUGCCACAACUAAGAGUCCAUGGCAUUUCUUCCAAGGACUCUGUACCUAAUGGGUCAAUGUCCCCCACAAAUACCCUGAUCCAAACCCAGGAGGCUGAGAAUCCCGAGUUGUCAUCAGACAGAACCCUGGUUCCCAGCACUGGAGUCUCAUCUCUUAUUCCUUGGCAUUGGUUUCAUUUUUCUCUGUCUUCUUUUUCUUAUUAUAGUCUUGGUUCCUGACAUACUCUCAUGAAGUAAUGGCCUUUUUUUUUAAUUAGUCAGUGAAUUGAUUAUCAUCUCUUUAUGAUGUAGUUAACACUGAUGAACCACUUCAAAGAGCCAGAGCUUUGACAGUAGCAUAUCUGCCUGUGUGUUUCUUUGCCGUCCCAUCCCUCUUCCUCCCCCUGCUAAGUCAACUAUUUGCUUAUUAUUUUCUUGAUUUUAAAAAGCUUUGUUAUAUAAGCAAUUUUGUUUAUUUUUAUUAUAUGUGAAGUUUUUAAAAUUCUAACAACAGGAAACACAAUUCUUCUGGGUCUUAAUUUUUCACUCAACUUUUUUACACAUGCAUAUAGUGCAUAAUACUGUUCUGUCACCUAUGAGCUGACCCUGCCCUAUAGCUUGCAGUCUGCAAAUAAUGGGAUCUCAAAGACACAAAGCUCUAAUUAGAGCUCAAAGGUUUGAAGGCCUUAAAAUCUUGCCAGACCAAUACCCACAGGAGUCAGGGGACGCUGAAGGGAAGAGUAGCUGGGCAUGGCAGAAUGGGGAAAGAGCCAUUGCAGGUGCAGGAAGCAAAGGUACAGAAGGGAAAUCAUUUGCUCUGUGUAUUGAGGUGCAGCAAAGAGGUGGCUUUGGGGGAGCCAGCUAGGCCCUUUAACCUUCCAUCAAACACUGCAAUUGCUGGCUGCUUUCUGUGCAGCCUUUGGAAGGCAGAGAGGGGGAUGUAGACAUGAAUGACCAAGUUCCUCAUUGCUCAGCUGGAGAGAUGGAGGAUAACAGGGCUGGUCCAGGGCUUCGUGGAUGGUCUCCAGACUCCACGCCUGGUUCUGUCUCCCAGGUUUGUUUGUUUUUGUCUUCUUAGGGCCACACCCUCAGCAUAUGGAGGUUCCCAGGCUAGGGGUCAAACUGGAGCUGUAGCCACCAGCCUACGUCACAGCCACAGCAACACGGAAUCCAAGCCAUGUCUGUGACCUACACCACAGCUCAUGGCAACGCCAGAUCCUUAACCCACUGAGAGAGGCCAGGGAUCGAACCUGCAUCCUCAUGGAUACUAGUUGGGUUCAUAACCCACAGAGCCACACCGGAACUCCCUAUCUGAGAGUCUUUAGGGGAGUGACACACCGUCUUCUAUAUCUCCCAGGAGUCUCACGCAGUGUUUUGCACCUAGAGGUGUUUCAUGAAUGUUCGUCAGGAACAAGCCACCAGCCAGAGAACCUUGAAAGAUUCUGUUCAGCCUGCUGAGCAAUAGCAGCCAUUUGUGGGAGGAGACUUGGGGAAUUUUCCAGAGCUUUGGAGGCCUGGCACAGCUCAUGGUGAAACUACAGGAGUAAAUUGCUUGCCUCUGUGAAAUGAAUGAACUCUCCCAGGGCACCGAGUGGUUAGAGAAAGAAGUAAUUCACUAAAUGGCCCCUUCCUGCUGCAUGAGAACAAAUGUGCUUCAUGUGGGCACAGAAAUCACUUCUCGCAAGAACAUUUCCGAAGAGAAUCAUUUCAGCAGGGCUGUUGGAGUCGUGACUAGAGCCAGCUCUGUGACGUCACAGCCAGCCCUAGAGAGGCAGCACCUCUUUAUGUUUUUUAGAGAGACUGCAGGCCAGGGUGGAGAGAGACUAUGCUUGUGACAAUUAAAUACUGUCUCUUCCCACCCAGUCGCUCUCAGAACUGGAAACUGAGGCCCAGAGAAGGGAUUCCAAGUGCCUUCUGGGGUGGCUCUCAUGAGGGCCCACGCAGUCAGCUCUGAGAAGACAGAAGCCCCUUUAGACGGUGAGCUCUUGGCUCAGCUGGAGGACUAAGCUGGCUGGGGCCACCCCUGUCAGAACUCCAGUUCCUAGCAGGCAGGGUGAGACAGACUGUGAAGACUGGGGCCCACAGGCAUGGCCAGCCCACAGGGCAGGAUGGGUCAUCUAGGGAGGUCCUAGAAGAAGAUGGUGAGAAGUCUAACCUCAGGGGGUCAGGGGCAGCCCAUAGGCAGAUACCAGGCCACCUCCAGGGAGUCUAGAGGAGGGGUGAUGCAGACAGAAGCUAGCUCGGACCAGGGACUCCAGAUUCCAAAUCUCUCCCCUGGCACUUGCCCUUGAUCCUUAGACUCAUAGUCCGUCCCACUGCCUUGAAGUGCCCAUAGAUACCUCAAGCCACCAUGUCCACACAGAGCUCAUCGCCUUUCCUCCACCUCCCGUGGUUCUUCCUGGGGACCUGCUUUAAGGAGGAACACCUAGCAGUCACGCAGAUCUUGCCCACGUUCUAUUCUUUGUGCCUCUGAAAUGUCUGCCAGCUCUCCCCACCCCCCUGCCUCCCUUCCACCCUCUCCUGAGCAAAUCUGCAUCUUCUCUCACGUGGAGACUAACCAGCAGAUCCUAAAUCAUUUCGUACAAUCUCUUCUCUCCCAUCUCUUUCCAUUUGGAGUCUGUUUUGGAAUGUGCACAUCACAUCACAUAAUGUUCUGACCCCGAGCGCCCCCAGAGUAAAGCCCAAAUGCCUGAACUUGGCCAGGAGGAUGCUGCAGGAUCUGACUUGUGCUCACCUCUGGACAGCAGAAGCCCAGGUGUCAGGCAUUCUCCCUGCUCCCCCUGUGGUCUGCUGGGCUUUGAAGGCCAUGCUGCCUUAGGGAUACCCUGUGCAGUGUGAGUCCUGACUUACAUGUUGAUUGUCGAGGCCUCCACUUCAGAGAUGGCAGUCUCCAAUAGACAGCCUCACUGGGUAAAGGGCCAGGCUGCCUCCCUUGACGUUCCUUUGUUUAAAAAUCUUUGGCUGAGGAGUUCCCAUUGUGGCUCAUUGGGUUGAGGGCCUGUUGUAGUCUCCGUGAGGAUGCAGGUUAGAUCCUUGGGCUGGCUCAGUGGGUUAAGGAUCCAGCAUUGAUGUAAGCUGUGGCUCUGCUGUAGGCUGGUAGCUCUGAUUCUACCCAUGGCUAGGGAACUUCCACAUGCCCCAGGUGCAGCUG
rnacentral:lncRNA from 1 species